UACGUAGGGUGCAAGCGUUAAUCGGAAUUACUGGGCGUAAAGCGUGCGCAGGCGGCUUUGCAAGACAGAUGUGAAAUCCCCGGGCUUAACCUGGGAACUGCAUUUGUGACUGCACGGCUAGAGUACGGCAGAGGGGGAUGGAAUUCCGCGUGUAGCAGUGAAAUGCGUAGAUAUGCGGAGGAACACCGAUGGCGAAGGCAAUCCCCUGGGACUGUACUGACGCUCAUGCACGAAAGCGUGGGGAGCAAACAGG
rnacentral:rRNA from 1 species